UGUGACCUACACCAUAGCUCACGUCAAUGCCAGAUCCCUGACCAUGGAGUAAGGCCAGGGAUCAAACCUGCCUCCUCAUGAAUACUAACUGGAUUGGUUUCUGAUAUGUCACAACGGGGCUCCCAGGGGGCUAGACUUAUUUAAAGCCUGGAGGCUGGAUUACAAAAGAGAACAUCCAAAAAGGACAAACCCUGAUGCGUAGGUGCUUACUGAACUUCUGUUUAUACCAUACUUCCUAGUGACCAAAGCAAUUCACAGGGCAAACCCACAGUCAGUGAGGGAACUAUACAAGGGCAUGAAUACAGAGAGGUGCAACAGGUUGCAGGCCAUCCAUCUACAGUCUACCACAAGAACCUAAAAAUAAAAUCUAGCUAGGUAUCCGUUUUCAAGCUUUUCAACAUAUUUUUAACAAGUGUCUGGUAUAUGAUUAACAUUUUACUAGGUACAAAGACUUAAAGACUCCCUUCCUUUAGUAAGGGAGGGAAGAUAUAUAGAAAUCUUUGAGAUCUUACCUAGCAUGAAAUAAAAAGAAAUGUCUUUAUUGGUCUCGGCCCCUAGUUCCUGACACAAGGCUCCUGAAAUCCUUGUAAAUUCCUAAGUGAUAAGAGCCCUAGGAGCAUCUCUUGUUCUAAUAUUUGGUUUUGACCUGCCCCUGACCUUGUAAAUUCCUAAGUGAUAAAGAUACUAGGAGCAACUUUUUGUUCUCUUGAGACAACUCCGGAUGGGGGUCAGUCAUUGGAAAGACUUGGAAUUUUUCAGUCCUGCCUCUCAUUCUCUUGAGAGGGAAGAAAUGCUGAAAAUGGAGUUAAUGAUCAAUCAUGCCUACAUGCUGAAACCUCCACAAAAGUUCCCAAAGUACAGGGUUUGGAGAACUUCCAGGUUAUCAACUACUUCUACACCAGGAGGAUGAUGCACCCCAACUCCAUAGGGAUGAAAGCUCCCCUGCUCUGGCCUCUCCCAGGCCUCACCCCAUGUAGCUGUUCUUCUGUUCGUUUUGUCAGAUUCUUUACUACACUGGUAACUGUAAGUAAGCAUUUGCUGGAGUCCUGUGAGCUGCUCUAGCAAACUAACUAAAUCCAAAGGGGAAAGAGGUAAAAAAAACUCUGAUUUGUAGCCAAGUCAGAGAGGAGUUGUAGGUAACCAGGGGACUGACUACUUGGGACUAGCAUCUUAAGUGGGUUGGGAGCGGUCUUACAGGACUGACCCUAAACUGGUGGAAUCUGACACUAUCUCCAGGAGGGAUACACAGCUGGUGUCAGGGAAAAUUGCUUGGUGUAGGGAAAAAAAACUCAUACAUUUGGCUAUGAAGUGUCAGAAGUGAAGUGUUGUGAGUGUGGUCAUAGUAUGAGAGUAAAGAUACACACAAGUAGAAGACUGAGUUUUUUUAAAUACACCUGGUUAAGGAGAUAUACAUGAAGAGGGAAUGGGCUCAGGAACAGCUCCACUUUGCCCCUCCGCCUCAAACUUCCAAAACAAAUCUCAGUUUGAGGCAAGUGACACAUGAAAUGAAUCUGAGGAUAGGUGAAUAGUGCAAAUAUGCAAAAUUCAACCAUAUUAGAAAAAAACUGAUGUCAAUACGGAUCAGCAAUUCUACACAAGCAGGCCAGGUCUUUAAGUAAAUGCAAAACAUAUUUGUUUCAUUUAACUUUUACAAGUGAAACUAUGGCUCCUUUAGUCUAAUUUUAUGCAAUAAAAAAUUCAUAUACUGAGUAUAUGAAUUUUCUACUCAAAGGGCUUGAUCACACAGUUCUGAAGCUCAGAAGUUUCGUAUCAGAUACCAAGAGAAGAUAAGCAUAAGCAUCGGAAGAGGGUAAAUAUUAUGACAGGUUUCAUAAGGUCAGAUUUUACUUAAAAUUUGGGAAAACAUGUAAAAUUUAGCAUAGUAUAGAGAAGACUAUCAGAAGUGUGGGGGAAAAAGCCCGGUUAUAACAUCUGUUGAACUUUCCUGAGGGAAUAGACUAAAGCCGCGAGUAAACAGGAGAUUUGAUUGGGGUUAUUUUGAUUGCUUGGUAAUACACUUUCUUUCUGUUUCUGUAAAAUCAGAAUGCCUCAACACCUAAUUGACCCAGUGGUUAAAACCAUCACAGCGACUGCCCUACAGUGUGAAUACUCCUCCAGGACGUUCUCUUGAUUGGACCAGAUGGCCUUUCUAUGCUUAUAAUCAAUAUAUUAUGUGACCUGUAAAUGGUUGGUCUAAACUUCCAGGGAUGACAUUACUCUAUUCAACAGUGCUCUUCCACCAAGAAUAAGCAGGUAAGGCAGUAACUUCUUUUAAUGUUAAGUGUUCUUUUAAUUCUGAUAAUUUAAGAGGCACACUUUCAUGCAAGAUGUAGAUGACUUUCAAUCCUCCUUAUGAAUUAUUUUUGGUGUUCUCAACAUAGUGCAUACAAAUAGGAGUGAGACCAAAGCAGCAGUUUUUAAAAAUAAAAGAAACCAUAACCCUAGACUUUUCCUGCCACAGAUUACCUGAACUGCAUCUUAAAUUCACCUCGAGUAAGACUUAAAGGAUGCCUGCAUUAACUAUAGCAAAAACUGGUGAUCAGACGAUUCUCCAAUCACAGAAACUCACAAUAGGUGCUGAGCCUCCCUUCCCUACAGGACCUAAAUACCCCUUAAAGUUUUAAAAGCCUGAUCUAUGCUUGGAGUCUACCUCCUCCCCAAAUAGUCGUGCAACCAAAAGUACCAAUAAUUUAUGCAAAUAAGAGGCUAAAAACUCCUGCUCUUCUAGUUGUCCACCAUGUCGGUGCUAGUUUGGAUCUGUGUGCAGGGGCGUGGAUGAGUGUGUAAAAUCCGGUGUUUUUCAUAAAGAAGGCAUUAAAUUGAGGCCAAUAGGUCACCCUCCCCUGUUGAGCAGGCUGUAUCAUGUUUAUUUCUCCCCAGGAGCGGCUCAGGCUAUCCUGCGUGCCCUUAGGCAGCAGGACAUCACUCGUAUUUGAGGUUUUCAAAGUAAACGAAGAACCGGGCGCUUUUCCUGAGUUCAAAAUCCGCCUGAGAACUUGAACACUGAGAGUUCGGUGGCAACGAAAGGUGCCUACAAGUUGCACCACGUUUGUCUGGCACUUUCCACUGAGGCUAGUCUAAUAAACGGGGGGUGGCGGGAAAGGAGAGAGGGAGGGAGGGAAACACCCUCCUCCUCUUUCAGAAACUGCACCUCAGCUUGAGAUUUGGGUAUUAUUUUACCUGUAUUUAUAAAAACCACCACCGCACUCCCUGCAUGAACCACCCCACUGCCUCGACUUCCAAGAGAAGCAGCUACUGAGACCAAAGAGGGGAAGACUGAGGAGCGGGGAGAAGACAAAUCAAUAAACAAAAGCGCGCGCGAGCGAGGGGGACCGAGAGAGGAGGGAGCGACAGCGGCAGGUUCAAUUAGCUAAACAAAGAAAUCAUGGCGGAUUGUUUACAUUUGGCAGCGCCCGGGCCGCGCGACCGCCGGCCCCAAGCCGCCGCGGCCCCCGAAGAGUCGGCGAGCUGCCCCCACGCCCCGGCCGAGAUUCGAAACCAUGCUUUGCUGAAAACGUCUGGCUGCCGGUCUAGAUCAUGACUCCUAAGAUUCUCAAUCUACUGCGGUGAUGCCAUUACUUUGGGACUUACUAAUUUGGGCUUCUUCCAGAGCUGAAAACUGAUUACAAAUAUGAAACAGAUUUUACUACUGGACUUGAACUCCACAUAAAGAAUAAAAAGAUUCUCAAAAUAAUUGAAAAAGAUCUUCACCAAAGAAUAGAUGCAGUGUGACUGGAAGAGUAUCAAAGAGAUUUGGGUAUUAGCCCUGACACAUAACAGGCAAUGAAAUGCUGAUUGAGUGAAGGAAGAAUCUGUCUCCCAGUAUCGUGGGAACUCUUCUGAGACCGCAGGAUGGUGUGUGUGGUACUUGAUUGCAUUGUACAAACACACUAAUCUAGAGUAGAUUGGAAAGAAAGAAGAAGGUGAAGGAGCAGAGAUGAUUCAGGAGCACAAGGCAAGAGCUCCACCUCUCACAAAGACUUGACGGUUGCAAUGCUCACAAGGGAAGAAUAUGGCAUGAAAAAGAUGACCUUCUCCAUAAACCUGGGACCCUAAACAAGCUACACUCUCAAUUAUCCCACACAGAGCUGAUGGAAUUACCUCAUGAUGAUUUCAAAGAAAAUUCUCUUCUCUAAACACUUUUAUCCCAAGAAGGCAUCAGACCGGGACACUGAGUCCUGUUCCAGAUGGGUGUAUCACAGAACCACUUCCAGGAUGGUAGGGUCACCCCAGAGCCUAUGGAUCCAGAAAAUGUGAUGAUGCAACACAUACCCAACCUUGCUUCUGCCAACGUGGAUUCAGGGCGCCUGGUAGUGACUGAGCACUAAGCACAUGGCAAGCAUUCAACACAGAGAAAUGGAGAUACAUCUUGGAGAUAAAUAGAAGGCCAGCCUCCUCCUAUUGGAAGACGCUGGGUUGAGGUUCAGAGCAGAAAACGCAGUAAAGGGAAGAGCCCAAGGAUUUGAAAGGUUUGGAACAUGGUGAUGGAGGAAUAACACUUCCGGGGGGUGGUGGUGGUGAAGAUACUUUCUCCUCCCCGGUUGACCAGAGGGUGCCGCAUCCAGUGAAAGAAGAUGGUGUUGGUGGAGUGUACACAUGCAGUAACAUCCUCACCUUCCAAACACCUACAGAUGCCACUGUGGACAUUUUUCCAUCCCUCUUCUCACCAUGCACACAGUUUGGUAUACUUUGGCAGGCCCUUUACCUAAUUUUUAACCCUCAAAGAUGCUAAAGCAGAAGUAAGCAUAUGGUAUAAAUGGAAUGAAUGAAAGCAAACAAGGGCAAAGAGAAGCAUUUAUUUAGCCUUGGGAAGAGAGACACAUAGGUCUUUCCUAAACUGGUAUAUAAGUAAAGAGCUAUUGGAUUGAUCUUUUUGUGAUUGUUCCUUCCUAGUUUUAGUAACAUAUUCUAAGUUGGGAGAAAUUCCUUCUCUUGUCAAUAAGAUAUAAAGAGAAGAAAAUUUUAAAAUAUUUGCAAUCCUUCCUCUAGAAUUUCAUGCUAAUUUUGCCUCUUUUUCUCUCUCCUCUAGAUAGUUGUUUUUAUACAGAGCAUUCUUGUGUAUUUCUUGUGUAUUUCUCCCAUUGUUUUUUCCUGAAGAAAAUACAGGGAUUAUUGAAGAUAAGCAGACAAGAUCAAGACAGUAUUUACCUUUCUUUGUGAAGUGCUUCCAGACUUGUUUAGAUGCAAUGCUCUCGAAGGCAAUAGCCUAACCAAAGGUUCAUAGCACACCAAGAAGAAGGUUGGAAAAUGUUCUGUGGAGUUGCCUCUGGAAGAAUGAGGGAUGCAGGAAGUCACCUCAGAUGAGAGAGGAUGGGAACUAGGAAAUUGGCACCUGUGGGUGAGAGAGUUGGAACUCAUGCUACCAUUCUCCUCUUUACGCAUGUGGAGACCACAUGCGACCUCAGAAUCUUUCUCAACACCAUGUUCCAAGAAGCAGUUAAUUGAGGAUGGCCGAAGCAUUGGUGAGUAGAAUACCUUCCAAACCUUGGGAAAGACAUGUGCUUUAUAGAUACCUCACUAAUUUUCCUCUUUAUACUUCACACCGGCUCUUCAGCUUAUUACACAGAUAUGUAAAAAUACAGAAAAAGCUUUCAUUAAAAGCUAGAAAAAGCAUAAAAGAAAGGCAAAGAAGUAAAAUCCAUACCAUGUGAUCCUCAAAGUUUCUUCCAGUGUACUUCCAACUUGGAUUUCAAUUUUCCAGCUCUCUAUUGUCAAAGAAAGUCCUUCACAAGCCCAUGUGAUGACUGUGGCAACAAGGACAGGGCUCUAAGAGGGCCUCGGUAGGGUGGCAUUUAGGGGCCACCUUACCUUCAUCUUUUCUCAGGUUUUCCUUGUAUGACUACUGAAUGUCCCUUCCCCUUCCCAGAGAAAAUGACCCCAUAGUGCCUUCCCUCCAACUAGCAAACUUUCAUCUUAACCUGCCUUCUACUCAAUGUAAAUUCUACAAUGUUUCAAGAGCCUUUUGUACAAUAUGGAAACUUCAAGCAGAGGACCCAAGGCAUUUUCUUUCAUCAACCUUCUAAUUUCAUCAAAGCACUAAAAAAGAAAUCUAUUUGGCUUUUUCCUUGUCCAGUACUCUAUUUCUUCUCAAGCACAUUCAAAAGCCACCUCUGUGAUUUGAAGACGCCUCUGUGGAAUUAUGUAAUUGGACCAACAGUGGCCAGUUCUCCACACUCUUGCUCCCUCACAUUAUUGCAGAGCAGACUACUGUUUUGCAGACCUUUCUCAUUGCAUAAAUGGCUACAUUAUCACUGUGUACACAUUAGGACAAGCAAAUUGGCCCCUUAAGGCAAAUAAGGGUUCAAAUAACCCCGACAAGGUAGUCCAGCUGAACUGAGGAUUCACCCUUGUUACAACUUAUUGCUUUAUGGGACAUGAGCUGGUGCAAGGGACAGACUGCUUCAAGUGUGUUUCUACCGAUCCUGCUGGCAAAUCACAGCUUUAUUACAGUAAUGAGCCUGACCAUAUUUCUGUGCUUAUGCAUAUUAGGCACCAAAUGUAUUUUCUGGCCUGCCAGCCUGUGGUAGUAACUAACAUGAGCAAUUUGUCCUGGGUUACAGUGUGUGUGCAUGCAUUAGGUAUGAGCAUGUUAGUUGCUUUGGGUUAUAAAAUACUACAUGUUUCAUCAUGCGUAUUUUAUAUGCACAACUCAACUGUAUGCAAAGUAGCUUGGCAAUUAACCAACACAACUUAUUAGUUUACUACAAGGUUAUUGCAUAAAUAAUGUGAAUUGGGGAUAGCCACAAUUUCAAUUCAGUAAUAUUAAAAAUUUCACAGGAUUAUUAAAUAUAUAAAGGAAAUGCUGAGUUUUUCUCUAUGGUACACAUGUUAAGGUCCUUUAAAAAAUAUCCUGAUUCUCCUUUCAGUUUCAUUUCUUUAUAGGAGACUAUGGGAUUUUAGGCCACGAAUUCCCCCAUACUUGUUGUGGCUGACAUUUGGGCUUUGACCCCAUCAGUUCCAGGUAAAGGUGAAUGGUCAUUAUUAUCAUGUCCUCCUCAGGAUCAUAUUUUAUGAAUGCCAUUUAUUGGGUCCCUGAUUAUUAAAAAGUGGCAUCAGCAUAAUUCAACUCACACACUAAAAACAAUAUUUUGUCACUCUCUUUACUUUGACCAUUGGAAUCAUAAAGCUUGGUGCAGUUUGCUUGAUUGUAUGGUGGUAUAGGAAGCACACCCCUUCAGGGGUUCACUCCAAGACAUAUGGAAGUACGUCCUCCCGAAAUCUUAAUUAAAAUGAACUCUUUGUCCUGGUUCUCUAGGAAAUAAACAAACAAAAACAAGUACAUGAAUAAAUAAUUAGAAUUGGUGGGAGACCUCUGCCGAAGCAAUUGCUGUUCUUGCCACUUCCGCACACAUCACUUAAGUUGUCAGAGAAUUACUUUUGUUCCUCCAUGCAGGUUGGAUUUAUGUAAAUGACCACACAGGAUAGGUGCCUUUAUUUAGUCACUACUAAAGCUGGAAUCAUGUUGUACAAGAGCUGAUAACAUGAAAUAACAUGAAACAAGUGGGCUUAUCCCUUCAGAAGCUUGUUUUACAGUACUGGUAUUUCUCUUUAGCAAAUCCUGCUGCGUUUUUAAAUAAUACAAUAAAACAACAUAAAUGUCUUUGUGGAAAAACUGAUUGUUUCAGAAGGAACAUGGCUGUUUUAUUCUUGUCUUUUAUCUCUUCCACACUGAAUUUUUGAAAAUAUGAACAGCUCCCUGGCCUGUGCGGAUAUAUAAUAGGUGAUUUGCUUAGGAACCCCCACAAUUAUUCACAUGCUGGAGAAAGGAAGAACAGGAGGAAACCCCGUGUUGACAACAGUAACACCCUGAAUAAAUACAAAAAGAAGAUGGAAAUGUGCCUUUUGCAGCCCUGUCACAGAUGAAGACUGCUCAUGAUAGAUACUUAGUUCUCUGACAGCUUCCCCUGCACCUUCAGUGGAAAGUUGAUAGAAAUUACUCCAGCUGAAUGCUUAAAGCAGAUGUUAUCCCAUUAAUUAGCUUUGGACGCGGGUACACUCGAGACUUUCCCAUUUUCAGGCCGCAAGGAAUUGGUCCCAGUGAGCGUGCUCUAUAUUCACAUUUAGGAUCAUCUCAUAAACAGCAGUGAAAACACAGCAGGCCCUUGAUGAAGAUACAUUAGCUUAUUUCUAAUUUAAAGUUACGUUGCUUAACCUUAAUGUAAUUGGUCACCGGUGGCCAACUGUUUGUAAAGUGUGUUGAUGACCAAAGAGAUGUAAUAAAUUAUAAAACUCUCUGCUUAAAUAGAGGGAACGACUGUUUUGUUAAAAGCUUUGCAUGUAAUAAUGGUAAAAUAAUUACACCUCAGACUGAAUAACUGUGAAGCUGUUAAUACAACAACAGAGCUGUCCUCAA